GAAGUCAGCGCACCCUUGUGUUGGGUAGGUUCAACUAUUGGCACAUUGCGCGCGGGGGUCGGAAGCCGUUGGAAAGGUUUUUUGUAAGGAACAAGUUUCAGUUCGGCGGUACUGGGACACUGUUUGCCGUUGCUGGCUUUUGGCAAUUAAAGCGCAACAGGUUUCUGUGUUUCACGGCGGCGCCUUAUUUUCAUCAGAAAUUGAGAGCUGAAGAAACAAAAAACAGCUUUAACUUUAACAGAACUACUGACCCUAAUACAAAGGGGGUUUUUUUUCUUACCCAAAGGAGUGCACGCGCCUCGUCGGGUUGUGGUGCCGCGGAGGAGCUGCCAGCGUGUCGCGCUUUGACGUGAUGGAAUCCGGGGGGGGGGGGGGGCUGCAUCGUUUUCACCCAAAUCUGACCUGGAGCGGAGGACGUCGCACCGUGCGGCUUCUGACGGCAAGAAGCGACCCCCGUGUCCCGGAUGGAGCGUACAGCGAGCUCGAAGAGCUCCCCGGGGACACCGUCAUUGCUCAACAGCUGUGCAUCAACUUCACAAAGGAGAAAGUACAACCAGCCGCCUGUUCAUCCUGGAGCAGGAGUACAAGAGGGGGGGGGGACAUUGAAUGGACCUUCAAGCCUGCGUUAGUCUCUUUGAUUAAGGUAAACAAUGCAUUCGAUCCAUAAGAGUUAAACUAUAAACACGUUCCACAGGGAGAGGUAUGCAACACUCGGCCCUGUCUGCAGCCACUGGGUCACAUGUCCACCCUGGGAAGCACACAACACGCUGACUGGACAAUAAUAAAGACCCACAUCCCAGCUUCACCAGGAAAACCUGAACGAGCCGGUGGACCAACCUACGCAGCAGCCGAGCCUCCCCCCCCCCUCUCCCCCUCUCCCCUCGUUCGCUGCAUCAUCCCCGAUGAGAGCACGGCUCCAGUGAGGCUCUCUGAUGAUCACCCAGUGGAACCUACGGGCCUUUAAUGCGGAUGAAGCUCUUCAAAUUCAAGCCUUUUUCAAAGAAGGACACUCUUGCAGAUGCCGAGGAUCGCUGUAAGCUACCUCAUCCAAACGAAGAUUGUGAUGGAGGCAAAAAGGGGAAAGAGACCACGGAGAGGCUGGAGGCCGAGGAGAUGACCUUCAACGUGCUGACCAAGAAGCGCAAGUCCUAAAGAGAGACAUUGAUGAUCUGGAGAUCACGCUGGCUGAAGUGGAAAAAGGAGAAACAUGCCACCGAGAACAAGGUGAAAAAUCUCGUUGAUGGGACGAUAAUUCGGUGUGAAACCAUAAUGAAGUUGACCAAAGAGAAGAAGGCUCUCCAGGAGCAGACUGGAAGACCUGCAGGCAGAGGAAGACAAAGUCAACUCUCUGACAAACGCAAAGGCAAGCAUAGGGUGAUGCAAGUAUAGUCCCGGCCUUAUACACACGUGGCACCAUCCCAUAAUAAAAACACAAGAAGAAGAAACAGAUCUCCUGAAGCUGCUGCGAGACCUGGAGGAAUCUAGGAGGCCGCUACGGCAACCUUGUGGAAGAAACACGCUGGUCAAGCGGAAGCUGGAGAGGAGCGAGGUCACUUGGAGGUUGAUUAUCUCUCUCAAGGGAAAGGCCACUUCAAAGAAGAUGUCCAUCCUCCUGAUUGGUCUCCUAAGGCUAAGAAAGUCCUGGCACACACACUGCAGUCAUCUCAACAUGAAUGUCAUCUCCUGAGGGAGCAGUGCAGUGAGCAGGAAGCCCAAGUUGAGAUGGAAGGUUCCACAGUGGAGGACCAAGUACAAAACUGACGCCAUCCAGAAAACUGAGGAGCUUGAUGAAGCCAAGGUGGAUGAGACGAGCUGAAGAAACCAUAUGGAAAACGAGGAAAGCGUCGAAGACAUUUUAAUCCCAGUGUUUUGUACUCGCUCUUUUGAUGCAGAACACUUGCCGGAUCAACUACAAGAAGACGCUGAAGAAGGAACAGCGAAUCAUUGACGCAGUGAUGAUGGCAAAGGAGCAGGACACUACUGCCUAUCUGGAGAGGAUGAAGAAUAAAAAAGGAGGAGCAGGCAAACACCAACAGAACCAAGAACAGGCCGAAUCACAGGUCAACAAGAUCCAGAUCCACACCCGGGACAGAGCACGCUGAGUGACGGGAGGCGGGGAGAGCUUACCGGACAAACAUGUCACAGCAAGCCAGCUGCAACAGCUGUGCUCAUCGGUGACAUCGCGGCCCGAAUAAAGACUUCAGAAAUGAACCUCGCAGCGCG